GCCUCCUUAGCUCAGCUGGCCAGAGCAUCUCACUUGUAAUGAGAGGGUCGAGGGUUCGAAUCCCCCAGGGGGCU
rnacentral:tRNA from 1 species